rnacentral:sRNA from 1 species
GCAUGGGAUAGCCUUUCUAAAUGGUUUAUUAAGCAAUUCUAUUUUACCAAGACUAUCGUAACCAUGCAAAAAAGCAACUCGGCAAACGCGUUCUUUUUUUUGUAU